rnacentral:rRNA from 1 species
AUGGAGAUGAAACCCAAAAGAUUUUCGUUGGGGCGUAACCCUCUCAGCGACGCGCCACAUCGGAACCCGGGUGUGGUGGAAAAUGGACAAGGGCCGGGCCGUCACCCCCCAAGUGGCGCGCCGUAUCUUGAUCCGGAUACGGUGGCAAGUGAGCGAGGAUCGGGUCGUCGCAUCCUUAGUGGCGCGCUACAUCGGCGCCCGGAUGUAGUGGAAAAUGAGCAAGGGUCUUCGCAUUUGACUCGACGAGUGCGAAGGGUAAGGAAGCUAGCCGAGCCUAGGAGGAUUCGCUUAGGUAGCUGGAACGUAGGGUCUCUGACAGGGAAGCUUCGGGAGCUAGUUGAUGCAGCAGUGAGGAGAGGUGUUGAUAUCCUUUGCGUCCAAGAAACCAAAUGGAGAGGACAGAAGGCGAAGGAGGUGGAGGAUACCGGCUUCAAGCUGUGGUACACGGGGACGGCUGCAAACAGAAAUGGCGUAGGCAUCUUGAUCAACAAGAGCCUCAAGUAUGGAGUGGUAGACGUCCGGAGACGUGGGGACCGGAUUAUCCUGGUCAAGCUGGUAGCUGAGGACUUGGUUCUCAAUGUUAUCAGCGCAUAUGCCCCGCAAGUAGGCCACAAUGAGAACACCAAGAGGGAGUUCUGGGAAGGCUUGGAAGACAUGGUUAAGCUGGUAGACGUCAGGAGACGUGGGGACCGGAUUAUCCUGGUCAAGCUGGUAGCUGAGGACUUGGUUCUCAAUGUUAUCAGCGCAUAUGCCCCGCAAGUAGGCCACAAUGAGAACACCAAGAGGGAGUUCUGGGAAGGCUUGGAAGACAUGGUUAGGAGUGUACCGAUUGGUGAGAAGCUCUUCAUAGGAGGAGACCUCAAUGGCUACGUGGGUACAUCUAACACAGGUUGUGAAGGGGCGCAUGGGGGCUUUGGCUAUGGCAUCAGGAAUCAAGAAGGAGAAGAUGUCUUAAGCUUUGCUCUAGCCUACAACAUGAUUGUAGCUAACACCCUCUUUAGAAAGAGAGAAUCACAUCUGGUGACUUUUAGUAGUGGCCAACACUCUAGCCAGAUUGAUUUCAUCCUCUCGAGAAGAGAAGAUAGGCGUGCGUGCCUAGACUGUAAGGUGAUACCUGGGGAGAGUGUUGUACCCCAGCAUAAGCUGGUGGUUGCUGACUUCCGCUUUCGGAUUCAUGUCCAGCGGGAUAAGCGUGCCAAGGUCGCUAGAACGAAGUGGUGGAAGCUCAAGGGGGAGGUAGCUCAGGUGUUCAAGGAGAGGGUAUUUAAGGAGGGCCCUUGGGAGGAAGGAGGGGAUGCGGACAAUGUGUGGAUGAAGAUGGCGACUUGCAUUCGUAAGGUGGCCUCGGAGGAGUUUGGAGUGUCCAGGGGAAGGAGAAGCGAAGAUAAGGAUACCUGGUGGUGGAAUGAUGAUGUCCAGAAGGCGCUUAAAGAGAAGAAAGAUUGCUUCAGACGCCUAUACCUGGAUAGGAGUGCAGACAACAUAGAGAAGUACAAGAUGGCGAAGAAGGCCGCAAAGCGAGCUGUUGGUGAAGCAAGGGGUCGGGCAUAUGAGGACCUCUACCAACGGUUAGGCACGAAGGAAGGUGAAAGGGACAUCUAUAAGAUGGCUAAGAUCCGGGAGAGGAAGACGAGGGAUAUUGGCCAAGUCAAAUGCAUCAAGGACGGAGCAGGCCAACUCUUGGUGAAGGACGAGGAGAUUAAGCAUAGAUGGCGGGAGUACUUCGACAAGCUGUUCAAUGGGGAGAAUGAGAGUUCUACCAUUGAACUGAAUGACUCCUUUGAUGAGACCAGC